rnacentral:lncRNA from 1 species
CCCCUGUGUGCAUCCACUUUAAUGGACCGUUAUCUCCACUCACAUGUUGACUGCAGGGUUCUCCUGGUAUUGCUGGUGCUCCUGGCUUCCCUGGACCUCGUGGACCCGCUGGUGCAGUGGGAGCAGGAGGCGCCCCCGGCCCCAAGGGUAACAACGUGAGUAUCACCCCCCCACCCCGGAAGCUGUUCCGUUCAUACCCAUCUGCCUAAACUAAAGAGGAUAACGCAGUCCAUACAUCACCCACAGGAGAGGACAGAAUGAAGAGGAUAUAUUACUUCCGUCAGCUCAUACUUUUACAGUUUUGUAGGAGAUAUUGCAGAUAGCAUGAUUGGCAAAAAAUAAAAAUACAGACAAAGAUUUGAAUAGGUUUCAAAGGUGCCAUAAGUUCACAUCCAGUUUCUGCUGGUCAACAUAGCAUUCUUAACGCUCAUCACAUUCAAUUAAGCAUUCUUAACGCUCAUCACAUUCCAUUUAUAAUCUAAUAUGCAAUUCCAGGUGCCAGCAAUAAUCUCCGAAAAUGAUUAUGAUGAGUUAAAUAUGACGUGUGUGUGUCUGUGUGUGAAACCGAAACUGAAACUGAAUUGGUUGGGUGUGUUCUGGCCUAACAGGGAGAUCUCGGUGCCCCUGGAUCUAAAGGAGAGCCCGGUCCCAAGGGAGAGCCUGGCCCAGUUGGAGGUCAGGGACUUGCCGGUCCCGCUGGUGAGGAGGGAAAGAGAGGCGCUCGCGGUGAGCCCGGUGGUGCCGGUCCCGUUGGACCCCCAGGAGGCCGUGGUGGCCCUGGAGCUCGUGGAUUCCCUGGUGCUGAUGGAUCUGGAGGCCCUAAGGGAGGACCUGGUGAGCGUGGUGCCAAUGGCGCCAUGGGUGCCAAGGGUGCAACUGGUGAGGGCGGACGUCCUGGAGAGCCUGGUAUGCCUGGAUCCAAGGGUAUGACUGGUAGCCCCGGUUCUCCUGGACCUGAUGGCAAAGCUGGCUUUUCUGGUGCCUCUGGACAAGAUGGUCGCCCCGGACCCCCUGGCCCCUCAGGAUCCAGAGGUCAGCCUGGUGUGAUGGGAUUCCCCGGACCCAAGGGACCUGGUGGUGAGUCUGGCAAAGGUGGUGAGAAGGGACCCGCAGGAGCGGUCGGUGCUGUUGGUGCCCCCGGUAAAGAUGGUGAUGUUGGAGGACCUGGAGUACCUGGACCUGCUGUAAGUAUGUUUUAUGGCUAUGGAACCCUGCUGCCGGAGAUGUCAUGGUCAUUAGCCGUGGUAGCAACCAUAAUAAUUAUACAUCCAAAACUAUUGCUAUUCCUGAAUCUAAAGUUAGAGCACAUAACUGCCUCUUCCUCUCAAAUCGACAGGUAUGGUUUGCAUACCAAAACCUACUCAGAAUUGGUGUAUCAGCACAUCCUGAAAUGA